rnacentral:rRNA from 1 species
UACGGAGGGAGCUAGCGUUGUUCGGAAUUACUGGGCGUAAAAGCGCACGUAGGCGGCUUUGUAAGUUAGAGGUGAAAGCCCGGGGCUCAACUCCGGAACUGCCUUUAAGACUGCAUCGCUUGAAUCCGGGAGAGGUGAGUGGAAUUCCGAGUGUAGAGGUGAAAUUCGUAGAUAUUCGGAAGAAACACCAGUGGCGAAGGCGGCUCACUGGACCGGUAUUGACGCUGGAGGUGCGAAAGCGUUGGGGAGCAAAACAGGAUUGAGAA